UCUUCUCGCGCCUACCGUUUUGUAUGGCUUUGUUCUCUGCAAUCCGCGCACGCAGCUCAUCGGUGGAUGCACGUCUGCUCGGCGUCGCAAUGCGGCCUGCGUCAUUUUUUGGUGUUCGCGCAAUCGGUGUGAAGCAUGUCGCAUGUGAAAUGUUUGGUAGAAGUGCCUCACGUCCAAGUCAAGCCGCCGUACGGGUGUAUGGCUGUGCGCCCUGUCUCGGAAGCGUCAACGGCUUUCCGGCAUGCGGAUUUCAGCGUUUGGACUCGACUUUUGGUGAGGCUGUCGAUCGACCUUGGGCCUGGUGACAGCACACCCGACAUCGCCAAAGUGCAGCCUAUCAGUUGAGCGCCCCCGAAUGGACCAUCAACAUCGGAAACUGAAGCAGAGCCAGGGGGAAAAAGCUCCGGUAACACCAUGCAUUCAGUAUGGUGGCCCAGACGUGUAUGCAAGCAACCUCCUUCAUGUGGACCAAGAACUACUCUGCAGUGUCUCACAGUCUUCCAUGCGAAGCCCUCAACAUUCUCGUCUCAGUGGAAUGGCUGCCCAUCUAUCUGCGUGUCCAUCACCAAGACGGCUAGUUGUAAAGCUCCUGUACCCGUUUAAGAAAGCUUAAUGAUUUUUUUUAUUUAGUUUUCACGGUUGGCCGUAGAAUCUUAACAUUUUUGAUGUUUCUAACGUUUUUACCUGGCACAAAGUGGCGCAAUAACUUUAAACCAGUGUAAUGUAUUUAAGUGAUGCUCACUCUAAUGCCUAUCUGGUUUUGUUUGUGUUUAAGAAAUUUGAAUGUCUGAUGAGGUAACAGCAUUUAAAUUUGUCAUCGUGGCUUGGUUCAAUGAGCUGCUAGGAAAUAAGAUGCAAAACUUAUCACAUGCCAGUUGUAGCAUUUUUGUAUUCAUGACUAAAGUAUACACGUUUCAAAAGAUGGAAAGUGGGGAAAAAAAGCCUCAAGAACAUAAUCAUCCUAGGAUUGUCAUGUCCUUACAACUCUGCAAUGACUAAUGCCUCAUGCAUCUUGGGAGCACAAUGGUCGCAAUGCCUACAGGUAUACUUGAUAAGAGACUAGCUUGCAAAAAUUUAGUUGAGAGUUAGCGCUCAUCCUGUCUGCUUCUAGUCUGUGUCCAUGCCACUUCGCGCUACAAUCCAAGAUCAUGUUACUGUACCAACUCGCCCAACUUUUUAUCCUUGUGUUAAAGACACACUCAGACUUGUUCUUACUUAUGUGACCGGUUAUUUUUGUGCUUUAUAAUAAGAUGCAGUGCUUUUCGAAUGAAAACGUGAUAUUUAGUAGUGAGGUUAUUUAAAAAAACUGUUCUGCUUAAAAUUUAAUUGAGCAAGCCUGUGCCAUUAUUCGGUGCUUAUGUCUUUGUAUUGGUAUGGUUUUACUCAUCUUCCUUUUUACUUUUAAAAUGUGCAAACAUUAUUAUGUAACCAUUUCUCUUGAAUGAAAUAAAUACUUCUGACAUUUCGUCACAAA